rnacentral:rRNA from 1 species
GCCAUACUGGCUUGUAUGCCUAAUCUCAUUAGAUCGGAAGCUAAGCAGGGCUGGGCCUGGUUAGUACUUGGAUGGGAGACCACUGAGAAUACCAGGUGGC